rnacentral:antisense_RNA from 1 species
GGGUGCUCUGGAUCUGUGUAUCUGGAGCCAGCGUGAAGGGGACAAAGAGAUAAGCCCCGAGUCGAUGUUCAUCAACCCGAGGCCUACUUUAACGCACGACAACGUCAAACUCGCCUCUUACCCGCUGCCAGGCAAGGAGAAGAAGGCAUGAUG